rnacentral:rRNA from 1 species
CCUACGGGUGACAGCAGUAGGGAAUCUUCCACAAUGGGCGAAAGCCUGAUGGAGCAACGCCGCGUGGGUGAAGAAGGUCUUCGGAUCGUAAAACCCUGUUGGUAGAGAAGAAAGUGCGUGAGAGUAACUGUUCACGUUUCGACGGUAUCUAACCAGAAAGCCACGGCUAACUACGUGCCAGCAGCCGCGGUAAUACGGAGGUGGCAAGCGUUAUCCGGAUUUAUUGGGCGUAAAGGGAACGUAGGCGGUAUUUCAAGUCUAGGGUGAAAUCCCUGGGCUCAACGGGGGAAGUGCAUUGGAAAGUGGCAAACUGGAGUGUGUAAGAGGAUAGUGGAAGUCGAGGUGUAGGAGUGAAAUGCGUAGAUAUCUGGAGGAACAUCAGUGGCGAAGGCGACUAUCUGGCACAUAACUGACGCUGAGGAGCGAAAGCGUGGGUAGCAAACAGGAUUAGAUACCCCAGUAGUC